GGCAUCGUAGCUCAGCUGGUAGAGUGUGAGCUGUGAAAAACUUAGGUGGCGUCUAUGCGUGGGUUCGAAUCCCACUGAGGCUA
rnacentral:tRNA from 1 species